UACGAAGGGUGCAAACGUUGCUCGGAAUUACUGGGCGUAAAGCGCACGUAGGCGGCUUGGCAAGUCGGAUGUGAAAUCCCUCGGCUCAACCAAGGAAGUGCAUCCGAAACUGCUGAGCUUGAGUACUUAAGAGGAUCGCGGAAUUCCCGGUGUAGAGGUGAAAUUCGUAGAUAUCGGGAGGAACACCAGUGGCGAAGGCGGCGAUCUGGGAAGAUACUGACGCUGAGGUGCGAAAGCGUGGGGAGCAAACAGG
rnacentral:rRNA from 1 species